rnacentral:rRNA from 1 species
UACGUAGGGAGCAAGCGUUGUCCGGAAUCAUUGGGCGUAAAGCGCGCGUAGGCGGCCCGCUAAGUCCGCUGUAAAAGUCAACGGCUCAACUGUUGAAAGCCGGUGGAUACUGUCGGGCUAGAGUACGGAAGAGGCAAGUGGAAUUCCUGGUGUAGCGGUGGAAUGCGCAGAUAUCAGGAGGAACACCCAUAGCGAAGGCAGCUUGCUGGGACGUUACUGACGCUAAGGCGCGAAAGCGUGGGGAGCGAACAGG